UCAGGAUGAACGCUGGCGGCGUGCUUAACACAUGCAAGUCGAACGAAGCAAUUUUCUACGAUCCCUUCGGGGUGACGGAUUAUUGACUGAGUGGCGGACGGGUGAGUAACGCGUGGGUAACCUACCUUGUACAGGGGGACAACAGUUGGAAACGACUGCUAAUACCGCAUAAGCGCACAGCAUCGCAUGAUGCAGUGUGAAAAGUUUUUUCGGUACAAGAUGGACCCGCGUCUGAUUAGCUAGUUGGUGAGGUAACGGCCCACCAAGGCGACGAUCAGUAGCCGACCUGAGAGGGUGACCGGCCACAUUGGGACUGAGACACGGCCCAAACUCCUACGGGAGGCAGCAGUGGGGAAUAUUGCACAAUGGGCGAAAGCCUGAUGCAGCGACGCCGCGUGAGCGAAGAAGUAUUUCGGUAUGUAAAGCUCUAUCAGCAGGGAAGAUAAUGACGGUACCUGACUAAGAAGCACCGGCUAAAUACGUGCCAGCAGCCGCGGUAAUACGUAUGGUGCAAGCGUUAUCCGGAUUUACUGGGUGUAAAGGGAGCGUAGGCGGUUUUACAAGUCUGAUGUGAAAGCCCGGGGCUCAACUCCGGUAUUGCAUUGGAAACUGUAGAACUAGAGUGUCGGAGGGGUAAGUGGAAUUCCUAGUGUAGCGGUGAAAUGCGUAGAUAUUAGGAGGAACACCAGUGGCGAAGGCGGCUUACUGGACGAUUAC
rnacentral:rRNA from 1 species